rnacentral:rRNA from 1 species
UGGGGAAUUUUGGACAAUGGGCGAAAGCCUGAUCCAGCAAUGCCGCGUGCAGGAAGAAGGCCUUCGGGUUGUAAACUGCUUUUGUACGGAACGAAAAGGCUCUUUCUAAUAAAGAGGGCCCAUGACGGUACCGUAAGAAUAAGCACCGGCUAACUACGUGCCAGCAGCCGCGGUAAUACAGAGGGGGCAAGCGUUGUUCGGAAUUACUGGGCGUAAAGCGCGCGUAGGCGGUCGUAUAAGUCGGAUGUGAAAGCCCUUGGCUCAACCAAGGAACUGCGUCCGAUACUGUACGGCUUGAGGCUGGUAGGGGGUAGCGGAAUUCCCGGUGUAGCGGUGGAAUGCGUAGAUAUCGGGAGGAACACCGAUGGCGAAAGCGGCUACCUGGGCCAGAUCUGACGCUGAGGCGCGAAAGCUAGGGGAGCAAACAGGAUUAGAUACCCAGGUAGUCCCUGAGCGGGCUGGCAAGGCGCAU